AUUGAACGCUGGCGGCAGGCUUAACACAUGCAAGUCGAGCGGGGACUUCGGUCCUAGCGGCGAACGGGUGAGGAAUGCUUGGGAAUCUGCCCAGUAGUGGGGGAUAACGUUUCGAAAGGAACGCUAAUACCGCAUACGUCCUACGGGAGAAAGGGGGGGAUCUUCGGACCUCUCGCUAUUGGAUGAGCCCAAGUCGGAUUAGCUAGUUGGUGGGGUAAAGGCCUACCAAGGCGACGAUCCGUAGCUGGUCUGAGAGGAUGAUCAGCCACACUGGAACUGAGACACGGUCCAGACUCCUACGGGAGGCAGCAGUGGGGAAUAUUGGACAAUGGGCGAAAGCCUGAUCCAGCCAUGCCGCGUGUGUGAAGAAGGCCUUCGGGUUGUAAAGCACUUUAAGUGGGGAGGAA
rnacentral:rRNA from 1 species